AUGUUAGGACUUAAAUAAAGCCCAUGAGAACCGUGGAGAGUCAACCCACAGCCGCUCCGCCGACCUGCUGGAAAUGUGAAGCAGAUACUCUAAAUAUCAGAUA